GGCAGAGUUGCUGAGGUUGCAGGAACAGUCCUGCAAAACGCUGCUCAGGUUGGAGAGCCACUCUCUGUGCAAUCCAUUAAGGAGGGGUGGGACCAUCCCUAACCAUCACUCCCUACAGCAGGAGCUCCAGAAUCUUCAGACGGGCGGCGUUGUAGAGGAGGGCGGGGCCUCGGAUCUUCACCCCACCCUCAGGAACAUCAUCCACAGGAUCAAAGCCUACGAGACGGAUGCUACGGAGAGUAUGCCUGAUGCUGGGGAACUGAACAGCCUUCAGUGCCUACAGGAAACAUCCAGCAGUAAACAGCAGCUAAUCAACCUGUUGCGUAAUGUAGAGCAACAGCAGCGUGCACUGUGGGCGGGACAUGUGGAGGGGGUGGAGCGUCGUGCUCCAGAGGUGCACUGUUCAGCACUGACCAGCAGGGGGCUCUGUGCCUCCACACACACUGUACUGGAGGCUGAGCUGGAACACACACACACAGCGCUGGAGCACACUCAGACGGCCCUCAUACACUUCAGGACUCAGGUCCAUCAGCUAGAGGCUGAGCUGAGGACAGGACGGCAGCUACACACACACUUCACCUGCACAGACACACACAAAUGUGCACACACACACACAUGUGCCCACACUGACACCGCAAGCCCAGGAAGUCAGACCUCACACACGGCAACUCCAGGAGCUCAAACACCACAGACC
ensembl:lncRNA